AAUCCUCUACAUCCUCUUUUUAGGAGUAACCAUUUGAAAGAUGAGCAACGAAUCUCUCGACGGCGAUGUGGACGGCGGCGGUCGUCAGCGCUGUCACGGUCUACUGGUUCAGGUGGGUGAUGGGCUCGGCGGAAGUGAAAGGCAAGCGGACAGUGAACUUUAAGAUGUGAUCGAGUACUGGUCCUUCUUUCUCCGCUCCAAGGAGGGCCUAGCACCAUUACUAUAUUAGUGAAGUGAGAGCUAGAUCCCCUUGUUUCCCCGAUCUGAUCGCCAUCCGAACUCCUAGCGUUCGACGCCCGGCGACUCCUUCUUGUUCCGGCGGCCUCUCCAGCCCUUCCUCUCCCCCUGCAUAUCUUCCAUUCUUGAUGCAGGACAAGGCGGCCGCGGAGGACGGCGAGAAGGAGACUUUUUCGAAGAAGUCGCGCCACUGCGAAGCCGAGAUGCCCCUUACUGAUUCCGAGGAAGACUCUUUCCCGUGGAGGAGAUCGUCCAGUACCCUCUUCCGGGAUACGUCGCUCCCUCUUCCAUCAGCUUCAGCCCCGAUGGGCGCUUGAUCUCCUAUCUCUUCAGCCCCGAUGGUACCCUCCACCUUAAAGUCUUCGCCUUUGACGUUGCCUCACGGCGGCAGGAGCCCUACUGUUCCUCCUAAGCGCCGAUUCUUUCUCUCGCGCAAUCCCUAAUUUUCGUCAUCGUUGUUCCUCCUGAGCACCAAUUCUUUCUCCUCCCUAACUUGCUCUUGCUGUCGCCUCUCCUCUCACCCACGCUCAUCAUCUCUAUCGCUGCUCCUCACCCUUUUUCCUCCCUAACUGACCCGCUCUCGCUGUCGCUGCUCCUCUCACCAACGUUCAUGCAUCCUUGUCUGCGCCGCCUCCAGGCGCUGCCAACCGCCGGCCUCCAGCCACCUAAGCAUCCUUGUCACCACCGCCUCCAGUCGCCUAAGCAAUCUGAAGUUUUAUAGGAUAUUCAGACCCUCCAUCACUGCAUUCUGUGCAAGCUGGAAGAUAUGCACUAGGAGGAAGCUUUGCUGGUAAGGCAGAUAUAUGAUGAUUUUGAUGCUUUAGCAGGGUUUGAUUUAUGCUUAAUGAAUUCCAAUUUUCAUAAUGCAAGUCCUAGAACUCCUUGGCAAUCAGGCCGACUCUCCUUGGCAAGCUUGCAAAACAAUAGAUUUGUAGAUAGGGAGAUUGACACUAGAGCUUCAACUAAGCUUUUUUUUUUUUUGUACAUUUGUUAGUCUGACCCCUAACAUGCAAGUUGUAUUCCAAAAAUUUGCUAGCCAAAUUCUAGCCUAACAACAUUUUUUUUAUUGUACAUGUCUUCGGAUACAGGUUGCCAUCUGCAGUCAAUCUGUUUACUAGCACAUAUUUGAAUACUAUGGCAUAAGUACUAAAAUUGCAACUUCAUUACCAUACUAACACUGUAACUAUGCUAUUUUUUUAAUUGUACAUGUGUUAGCUUGAUCCCUAACAACAUGUAUGUACUAUUCUAGUCAAAUUCUAGCCAACACAUGUUAAUUUGCUUGAUCCCUAACAAUCCUUAUUUCUACGAAUAAAUAGCUAGCCAAAUUCUUAAGUUUCAAUAAAAGUUGCACAUAGACUUAGUAGCACAUAGACUUAGCACAUAGACUUGCUUGUUUUCUAUGCUUCUUCAGCAACUCACUUUAAAACCUCAAUUGCAGGAAUAGAAGGAAGCAGUGAGUGGAGGUUUUGGUCUAAGACAUCGGAAGCUUAAGCUUUAAAGGAACUCCGAGGAUGUUUAGUAGGCUUUUAGGAAAGCCCAAAGAGCAAACCAGCGCCUUGGCAACUAUCGAGAAAUUAUAUGAGACACUUGAAAUGCUCGAGAAAAAGGAGAAAGUUCUCCUUAAGAAGUCUGAUGUUGAGAUCGAAAAGGCUAAACAAUUCACCAAAACUAAAAACAAAAGAGACUCGAGUUUACUUGAUACUAGAAUAUGCAGCUAAAGGUGAACUCUACAAGGAACUACAGAAGUCCAAAUGCUUCAGUGAGAGGCGAACUGCUACAGUGAGUUCUUUGCAAACACACACUAACGGUUAUCAGUGUAUGAGUUUUUAUCUAUUAUUGUCAAUGAAGGACUAACACUCUAAUCAUGUACCCAUAGAAUUUGCAGUUCCUUUCUCACUGUAUGUACAAGCGUUGUGCAUUUGCAAAUUUAAUGAGGCUAGUGUGUCUGCAAACUUGAACAAAUGUUCUGAUAAUUUAUAAGCUUUAUGUGUUUUUUUAGAAAUGUCUUAAGGUACUUCUUAAUGAAUUUUCCCAUGUUGUCCAGGUACUUCUAUAGAUUCUUCCUCAUGAUAUUUUUGUUUAUCAUGGCAAUGUCCAGAAGUCUAUGGCAGCCACUUCUGCUGAGGGUGGCCUUGAUCCCAUACUUGCCUACACUGCCGGAGCAGAGAUCGAGCAGCUGCAGUGGUCUUCCUCCCAGCCCGACUGGGUUGCCAUUGCCUACUCCACUAAGCUUCAGAUUCUGAGAGUUUAAUGGAAAGCAAAUGGAUAUUAGAGCAGUAAAGAUAUUGCCUUUGAUUCUAUUUACUGAACUGGUACCUGGUAGCACCCCACUCAAUUGAUUUCAUAAUUAGUGCAUAGCUUCAUUUCAUGUGCUAUCAUUUCUCUAUUGCACUAGGCUUUUGAUUAUUUUUGGGGUAUAGUUUCCUUAUUACUUGCAGGAUCAGAAUACUAGUUGGAUGAAUUGUUUGGAUCCUCUACUGGCAUGUUCUUCAGUUUGCCUUUUUUUUUUGAAUUUACUGAUAACCUUCUUGGGCAUUAAAAUUAUAUUUUCUUUUCUAUUAGAAACUUACAUCUUUGCAGAUGUUUGCCUUCUUCUGUGUAUCUUCCUGCUUAACUUUAUUUAGUUGCUUUUGAUCUUUGUAUAGCACUAGUUAUACAUUUUUUUUUAAGAGAGAUGAUUUAGGCGUGUUUAAGAUCUUGGUGGAUGAUUCAUUGGAUUCGUGGUGUUGGAUAUUGUCAGGUAGCUCUUGUAAUUCCCUGUGGUUGAACAUUUUGAAGUGGAACUGGAGGUAUAUUUGGAAGUCAGUGUUUAGGGUUGCUGUAGAAUGAUGCUUUGAAUUGUUGUUAUCUGGAGCUUUGAUCUUUUGCUUCACUGAACUUAUGCAGGAAUGUAAAACAUUAAGGAUCCUGAGAUAUAAUUUUCCCAUGUUAUCUGGAGCUUUGAUCUUUUGCCAUGAAUUUUUUCAUGUUAUCAAUGAAAGUAACAUGAUACUUUCUUAUAUGAUGUAUUUUUUUCUUUUCUUUUAUUUAUUUACUUAUAUAUAUGAUUGCAUCUAUAUAUGGUUGAAAUUCAUGUUGACUAGUUAGCAUUUUAGCUAUUUUCCCCUUGAAAUAAAAAAUUGUUUUGAUGUUAUUGUAUCAUUGGAAAUCAUAUAAAUGAAUUGAUGUUACUCAUCUUUAUUACUGUUGAGGAAUUUAUUUACUUUUCAUGUACUCUUAGUGAUAAACAGUUAU